rnacentral:rRNA from 1 species
CAGUAGCCCGGGAACACGGAGGGUGCAAGCGUUAUCCGGAUUCACUGGGUUUAAAGGGUGCGUAGGCGGAUCUGUAAGUCAGUGGUGAAAUCUCCAGGCUUAACCUGGAAACUGCCGUUGAUACUAUAGGUCUUGAAUUUUGUGGAGGUUAGCGGAAUAUGUCAUGUAGCGGUGAAAUGCAUAGGUAUGACAUAGAACACCAAUUGCGAAGGCAGCUGGCUACACAACUAUUGACGCUGAGGCACGAAAGCGUGGGGAUCAAACAGGAUUAGAUACCCGCGUAGUCCCUGUCUCUUAUACA